rnacentral:rRNA from 1 species
GACGAACGCUGGCGGCGUGCUUAACACAUGCAAGUCGAGCGGUAAGGCUCCUUCGGGAGUACACGAGCGGCGAACGGGUGAGUAACACGUGAGUAAUCUGCCCUUCACUUCGGGAUAACCACCGGAAACGGUGGCUAAUACCGGAUACGACCAGUCUCUGCAUGGAGUGCUGGUGGAAAGUUCUUUCGGUGGAGGAUGUGCUCGCGGCCUAUCAGCUUGUUGGUGGGGUAACGGCCCACCAAGGCUUCGACGGGUAGCCGGCCUGAGAGGGUGACCGGCCACACUGGGACUGAGACACGGCCCAGACUCCUACGGGAGGCAGCAGUGGGGAAUAUUGGACAAUGGGCGAAAGCCUGAUCCAGCAACGCCGCGUGAGGGAUGACGGCCUUCGGGUUGUAGACCUCUUUCAGUAGGGACGAAGCGAAAGUGACGGUACCUAAAGAAGAAGCACCGGCUAACUACGUGCCAGCAGCCGCGGUAA